UUGCAUAGGUCAUGACGGGGCGUAUGC
rnacentral:sRNA from 1 species